CCCUUAGAUGUUCUGGGCUGCACGCGCGCUACACUGAAGCUAUCAACACGUUUUCCCUCCCUGAGAAGGGCGGGUAACCUUUUGAAUCAGCUUCGUGGUAGGGAUCGGGGCUUGCAAUUGUUCCCCGUGAACCAGGAAUUCCUAGUAGACGCGAGUCAUAAGCUCGCAUCGAUUAAGUCCCAGCCCUUUGUACACACCGCCCGUCGCUACUACCGAUUGAACGUUUUAGUGAGGCAUUUGGACCGACGCAUCUCAGUUUAACCGCUGGUUUGUGUUGGAAAGACUUCCAAACUUGAGCGUUUAGAGGAAGUAAAAGUCGUAACA
rnacentral:rRNA from 1 species